rnacentral:rRNA from 1 species
GACGAACCGUACGAACGUUAUUCGGAAUCACUGGGCUUAAAGGGUGCGUAGGCGGCGCAGAAAGUAGGGUGUGAAAUCCCUCGGCUCAACCGAGGAACUGCGCCCUAAACUACUGUGCUCGAGGGAGAUAGAGGUGAGCGGAACUUAGGGUGGAGCGGUGAAAUGCGUUGAUAUCCUAAGGAACACCGGUGGCGAAAGCGGCUCACUGGAUCUCUUCUGACGCUGAGGCACGAAAGCUAGGGUAGCGAACGGG